rnacentral:rRNA from 1 species
AGCAGCCGCGGUAAUUCCAGCUCCAAUAGCGUAUAUUAAAGUUGCUGCAGUUAAAAAGCUCGUAGUUGAAUUUCGGGACCAUCAUGUCGGUCGUGCCUCGGUACGUACUGGUAUCGUUGGUUUCUCCCUUCUGACGAACUAUGAUGUCAUUUAUUUGGUGUCGUGGGAAAUCAGGACUGUUACUUUGAAAAAAUUAGAGUGUUUAAAGCAGGCUCACGCUUGAAUACAUUAGCAUGGAAUAAUGAAAUAGGACGUUUAAUUCUAUUUUGUUGGUUUCUAGGAUUGACGUAAUGAUUAAUAGGGAUAGUUGGGGGCAUUAGUAUUCAAUUGUCAGAGGUGAAAUUCUUGGAUUUAUUGAAGACUAACUACUGCGAAAGCAUUUGCCAAGGAUGUUUUCAUUAAUCAAGAACGAAAGUUAGGGGAUCGAAGACGAUCAGAUACCGUCGUAGUCUUAACCAUAAACUAUGCCGACUAGGGAUCGGAUGAUGUUAAUUUUUUAAUGACUCAUUCGGCGCCUUACG